AAAAAUUCAUCAAACAUAUCCUAAAAUGAUACAAUUGUGAGUGUUGAUUGAGUGACAAGAUAAAAAAAAAGUUCUAACAAGAAAUUGGUAAGCCUCCUUUAGGUAUUUGCGAAUUCAAGAUUUAUAACUUGAUUUCGAGAUUCUUAAAUUGAAAUCGAGCUCCCGAUACCCGAUUUGGAAGCCUAUAACCUAAUUGCGGCGCCUAAGGGUAAGGGUUGCUUUGGAUUGAACGUCCGUUUUGGCAAGAAUGACAUUCAGCUAAAUCCCCGUUCGCAAUUUCCAAACAUCAAGGUACCUCGUUUGAUGCAGUCUCAGUAGACGUUUGGAUAUGGUUCCCUUCAAGUAGAUGUUUAUAGUCGACCCACAGAAAAAAAUCAAGAUAACCAAUCAUUUUCUUACGAUUUUUAUCAUUGUCUGACAGAUGGAAGCCGAUAAUCAGCCAAUUUUUCAUGCUUAUGAAAGUUCAAGAAUCCUGGUGCAUGGAAGAAUAUCCACAAUUGGACACUAAGACUAUGAAAGGUAAGUUUAGUACAUCUUCAUCCCCGCCUUUCACUUGUUUGAAAAAUGAGAGAAAAACAAGUUGAGAGAAAAAAAAUAUACAUAGGUUAUUAUUAUUAUUUUAUCUUUUUACAUCAUAGGCAUUAUCAUCCUUCCACCCUUGAUUGUUCUUAGUAGUUCAUUUAGAUAAUUCAUUAUGUUCCAAUGUGACCAUUCUAUUUUCUCUAAUACAUAAUGUAGUAUAAAAUAGCCUUUACAUGCUUUUUUUUUUUAUUUUUAGUUUAAUUAUAAGUUAUUUUAAAGUUCAAAGUAUGAGUUGAAAGUAAAAACUUAUAAAUUUAAAAGUUGUUUUUUAAAAUUAUUUUAUUAUUUUUAAACUUAAAAAUUACUUUUAUGUUAAAUAUUGAAUUUUGGGAUUAAAACAUGUUGAGUCAUAUUGUGCACUCCAAAUUCAAGGUAAAUAAGUGUAAGGUAGGGAAAGAUAAAAAAAAAUGGAAAUAGAGACCACAUAAGAACAACAAAUUCAAUCUUAUCACACUAGAAAAAAGAUAUAAGAAAUUUAAAAAUUCAUGCAAUAAGAAAAAAAAAAGUCCAUCGUAUCACACUAGGAAAAAAAUUUAAGAAAUUUAAAAAUUGAUGCAAUAAGAAAAAAGAGAGAGACAAAAUGAGCUUGUGAAUAUAAUUAUCCUUUGUAAUUUGCAAUAAAAAAGAAAAAGUAGAAAUCAAAUUAGUUCAUAAAUUUUUUUAAGUUUUUUUAUUAUGUUUUUUUUAUAAAAAUGAUUUUUUUAAUUUUGUUUGGUCCAUCUUCUCCUUUUAAAGAGGGGGAAAAAAUCUAAAAUAGAUUGUUUCUAAAUAUAUAUUUUUUCUCUGUUUUAUGUAAUUUUGGAGAAAAUGUAUGAGGUGAUUUUUAAAAUCCUCUAUGAAGUUAUAUUAUUCAAAACUACUCAAUCACCAAUACUUAUUACAGGUGACUUCUUCUAGGCCUUUAUGCAAAUUAUUUGAUCCACUAGCUAACACUU